AUCAAUACCUCCUAAUUCGACUAGAACUCCAGUUUCUAAAUGUUGUAUAAAUUUAGGUCUAAGGUAUGAUGUGCUUAUAGUCAUUAUCACAGAAAAAUUCUUAAAAUCUUAGCAAAAGGUGUGGAGAGGUGAGGUUAAGAGCAGAAAAAAGUUCCAGAGAGUUGAAGAAAAGAAGACGAUACGCAUAGAAAAAAUUAAAGAAAACAAAUUUUGAGGAUCAAUUAUGGCUCCAAUCAAGUUGGUGAUUAAGUUGAAUGGUCGACCAAUUUGUAAGCGAAAAUUAGAGAUUGAAGAUCAUAAUGGGCUACAAGAGGAGAAAUCAUCUAAAAAGGUACGUCUUCUUGAUUCUGGAAACAAGGUUUAUGUGAUUAAGAUGAAUGGUCGGCCAAUUUGUAAGCGAAAAUUAGAGAUUGAAGAUCGUAAUGGGAUACAAGAAGAGAAAUCACCGAAAAAGGAGAAGUUUGUUGCGUCGGGAAAAACUUUGUUUAGUUCUUGAUUUAGAUCAUACAUUACUUCACUCGGUUAAGAUUUCGGAUGUGUCGUUGGAUGAACAGGACUAUCUCAAUAGUAAAUCAGGGUUAAUUACAUGCAUGAAGACUGUUGGGAGACAUAGCUUAUACAACCACAACGGAAGGUAUACAAGGUUAAGGCCUUAUGUGCGAGAUUUUCUUGAACAAGUAUGCCAGAAAUUCGAGCUUUACGUUUAUACCAAGGGAGAACGGUGGUACGCUAAAGAGGUGGUUAGAUUGAUUGAUCCUAAAAGUGUUUAUUUUAAGAACAAAGUGAUUUCGAAAGAUGAUUCUACUGUCAGAAAUCGAAAAAAUCUAGACGUGGUUUUGGGAGCAAAUGCAACUAACACGGUAAUUAUCGACGAUACGGAGUCAGUCUGGAAAGAGCACAAAGAUAACAUAAUUCGCAUCAACAAAUUUAAUUAUUUUUCAUCAAGAAACGGCGGUGGAUAUCGGUUAAACAUGGAUAAUGAUGAGUUGGAUGAAGACGACGGUGCCCUCAAAAGAAUCUUAGAAGUUCUGCAGCGUGUUCAUGAUAAGUUCUUUGAAGAGUUCCCAGUCAAGAAUGAUGUUAGACCAGUGUUGAAAGCGGUGCUUAAAGAAGUUUCUGCAAAUUGAUUAACCUCAGUAAUUCAAUUAAUUUUGUAAUGUAAUUUCAGUGAUUUGGGCUUUUUCUUUCUUAAUUUGUGCAGAAUAUUAUCAUACGGACUUCUUUGCUUCUGGGUUCUGGAGAGCUUUUGUCAUGUGCGGCUAUAAUAGGCUUAAUCCAAGGAAUGCAUGGAUUCAUUCUUUUGAGGACCCAAGUUACUUAAGCCAAGGACGAUCAAGCAAUGACUUAUCCUGUAAUGUUGCAGCGUCAGUUUGUCUGGCCUUCCAGUGAUUUGCACAAUUGAUGUCUUAUAAACAAGGAUUUCUUGGUGACAAAAUGAGGUUCUGAAUGUUCGUUUCUCUCCCGAUUUCUUUCAGUGUUGGACCUGUUGGUUAUAUAAUGUGUUAAUGAGUUGGUUAUUUGAUCUGUUCUGAUUAGUUUGCAGGCAACGCACGCUGAAGUAACAACAUACUACUUGGUGUUGGUUUCAAAUGGUGGACCUGUUUGACAUGUAUAUCGGAUCAAUAUUAUGGUAUGUUUGUGAGUCAGUCUGGAAAGAGCACAAAGAUAACAUAAUUCGCAUCAACAAAUUUAAUUAUUUUUCAUCAAGAAACGGCGGUGGACAUCGGUUAAACAUGGAUAAUGAUGAGUUGGAUGAAGACGACGGUGCCCUCAAAAGAAUCUUAGAAGUUCUGCAGCGUCUUCAUGAUAAGUUCUUUGAAGAGUUCCCAGCCAAGAAUGAUGUUAGACCAGUGUUGAAAGCGGUGCUUAAAGAAGUUUCUGCAAAUGGAUUAAUUUCAGUAAUUUAGUUGAUGUUAAAUAAUUUUGUAAUGUAGUUUCAGUGAUUUGGGCUUUCUCUUUUUUAAUUUGUGCAGGAUAUUAUCAUAUGGACUUCUUUGCUUCUGGGUUCUGGGGAGCUGCUAUAAUAGGCUUAAUCCAAGGAAUGCAGUAUUGUUAUGUUUUAGGAUUCAUUCUUUUGAGGACCCAAGUUGCUUAAGCCAAGGACAAUCAAGCAAUGACUUAUCCUGUACUGUUGCAGCUUCAGUUUGUCUGGCCUUCCAUGCUACAGGGAUUUGCACAAUUGAUGUUUUAUAAACAAGGAUUUCUUUGUGAGAAAACGAGGUUAUGAAUGCAACACACGCAGAAGCAAGUUAGUAUGUAUUGGAGCAAAAACAUAUUACUUGGUGUUGGUUUCAAAUGGUGGACCUAAUUGGGGAGUAGCAUCCAAGUGCUGGUUCUAGUUCUCAGUCUAAUUUUCUAUCAUCAUGACAUUGGAGAGAGAAGACAUACUUGGUAAUUUAAUGCUAGCUACAACAUUGAAAUUGGAGGGAGAAAUUAUCCGCGAGUAUGAUAAGCAAAGGUGCACUUCUACACAUUUAUGGCGCGAUGGCCGUCUUACAUGUUUAGGGUGCCCUAGGCGGACUAGUUUUGUGGCUUUUUAUGAGUUACCAAAUCUGGAGAGAGCUGGAUAUUCAGAUUACAAGAAAUUGGUAUAUCUAAAGUGAUAAUUUGGAUUAUGUUAUACGGCCAAAUGGGGAAGAUUCUUUUUUAGCACUUUUUGGUUAAGUUUUGGGUUCGAAACUUGUAAUUUAGUUUAGCAUAAAUCUUCCCUCCCCCCACUUUAAUGACAGUAGAUGAAAACGGAUACCUCCGAUUUGUUGAAUUUUUAUUUCAUUAUUAAACGUUAGAUGAGAUGACUUUAAAAGUUAGCCAUCAGAUCUAGACGGGAAAUUUUCGUGUGAACUAUUCACAUGGACCACUGAAUUAUCGUAAUAUAAACGCUAUGAUUCUAUUCUUC